AGUCCCCUCUAAAGCAAUUAUUCUGUUCAAAAGAGGAUUUGUUUGUGAUAUUCCUUUAAGAAUCUUUAUUUAUUCCCCCAACAGUUUCUUUUUCUGCAUCCGCUGCUCUGUUAAGUGAUCACCACAUUCAUUGUUCUCGUUUCUAUUAUUUCUGAAAAAAAUCUUCAGGAUUCUGCUUGUGGGAGUGGAUGACAUUUUUACAGUGUUUACAGGCUGAAAAUUUUUCGAGCUUUUAUGCUCUGCUUCCGUUAUAAGGAGGAGGCCUCACAAUCCUGGUGGAAGGCAAGGAGGAGCAAGUCACAUCUUAUGUGGAUGGCAGCAGGCAAAGAAAGCUUAUGCAGACACAAAAUGAACAAGAUGUCUGUGGCAACCCUCAGACCAUUGACGCCUUCUCUCCUAUGUAUCAAAUCACACAUUUGGACGUUGACUGAACCCUCACAUGUCAGAUGCUCAAUAUUGAGGUAUAGUAAAAGGGAGCAUGAACUUGAGAAAAUACGCUUUCAACACAAAGCUGUAAUAAUAUAAGGUCAAAUAAGAUUCUGCAUUGGAGAUAGAAAACUCUGAAGGAAGCUUUAUCUAUUCCAGAAUGUCAUAUAGCUGGUAUAAGAUUACCUAUCAUCCAUGGCCAAGAAUUAAGUAGUUGAUUGGCUCUCCAAUGAGUAACAAUUCUAUCUCUUCAUUUUUUAUAUAUGAAGUUUUCAUUUUGGUUGUUGAUACUUUUUGAGCUAUUUUAUUUCAUUGGUCCAUUUAUCUGUACAUGCAUCAAUAAAAUAUUUUCUUUAAAGAAUUGUAAUUAUCAAAUGUCAUAUAUAUGUCUAUUCACACUUUGUCUAUUCUC
ensembl:lncRNA LINC01608 long intergenic non-protein coding RNA 1608